GUAGUCAUAUGCUUGUCUCAAAGAUUAAGCCAUGCAUGUCUAAGUAUAAGCAAUCUAUACCGUGAAACUGCGAAUGGCUCAUUAAAUCAGUUAUCGUUUAUUUGAUAGUACCUUACUACUUGGAUAACCGUGGUAAUUCUAGAGCUAAUACAUGCUAAAAACCUCGACUUCGGAAGGGGUGUAUUUAUUAGAUAAAAAACCAAUGCCCUUCGGGGCUCCUUGGUGAUUCAUAAUAACUUAACGAAUCGCAUGGCCUUGUGCCGGCGAUGGUUCAUUCAAAUUUCUGCCCUAUCAACUUUCGAUGGUAUGGUCUUGGCUUACCAUGGUUUCAACGGGUAACGGGGAAUUAGGGUUCUAUUCCGGAGAGGGAGCCUGAGAAACGGCUACCACAUCCAAGGAAGGCAGCAGGCGCGCAAAUUACCCAAUCCCGACACGGGGAGGUAGUGACAAUAAAUACUGAUACAGGGCUCUUUUGGGUCUUGUAAUUGGAAUGAGUACAAUUUAAAUCCCUUAACGAGGAACAAUUGGAGGGCAAGUCUGGUCCAGCAGCCGCGGUAAUUCCAGCUCCAAUAGCGUAUAUUAAAGUUGUUGCAGUUAAAAAGCUCGUAGUUGAACCUUGGGCCUGGUUGGCCGGUCCGCCUCACCGCGUGCACUGGUCCGACCGGGUCUUUCCUUCUGAGGAGCCGCAUGCCCUUCACUGGGUGUGUCGGGGAAUCAGGACUUUUACUUUGAAAAAAUUAGAGUGUUCAAAGCAGGCCUAUGCUCGAAUACAUUAGCAUGGAAUAAUAGAAUAGGACGUGUGGUUCUAUUUUGUUGGUUUCUAGGACCGCCGUAAUGAUUAAUAGGGAUAGUCGGGGGCAUCAGUAUUAAAUUGUCAGAGGUGAAAUUCUUGGAUUUAUUUAAGACUAACUACUGCGAAAGCAUUUGCCAAGGAUGUUUUCAUUAAUCAGUGAACGAAAGUUAGGGGAUCGAAGACGAUUAGAUACCGUCGUAGUCUUAACCAUAAACUAUGCCGACUAGGGAUCGGGCGAUGUUAUCUUUUUGACUCGCUCGGCACCUUACGAGAAAUCAAAGU
rnacentral:rRNA from 1 species